GAUGAACGCUGGCGGCGUGCCUAAUACAUGCAAGUCGAGCGGAUGGAAGGAAGCUUGCUUCCUAAAGUCAGCGGCGGACGGGUGAGUAACACGUGGGCAACCUGCCCCUAAGAUCGGGAUAACUUCGGGAAACCGGAGCUAAUACCGGAUAUGAUUAUGUCUCACAUGAGACAUUAUGGAAAGACGGUUUCGGCUGUCACUUAGGGAUGGGCCCGCGGCGCAUUAGCUAGUUGGUGAGGUAACGGCUCACCAAGGCGACGAUGCGUAGCCGACCUGAGAGGGUGAUCGGCCACACUGGGACUGAGACACGGCCCAGACUCCUACGGGAGGCAGCAGUAGGGAAUCUUCCGCAAUGGACGAAAGUCUGACGGAGCAACGCCGCGUGAGUGAAGAAGGUUUUCGGACCGUAAAACUCUGUUGUUAGGGAAGAACAAGUACCAUAGUAACUGAUGGUACCUUGACGGUACCUAACCAGAAAGCCACGGCUAACUACGUGCCAGCCGCCGCAGUAACAC
rnacentral:rRNA from 1 species